UGCAAAUUUCAUAUGUUUAAA
rnacentral:piRNA from 1 species